GUUGGAGUGGCAGAGCCCGGUAAUUGCUAAAGACCUAAGUCCUUUCGACAGAGGUUCAAAUCCUCUCUUCAACU
rnacentral:tRNA from 1 species